UACGGGGGGGGCAAGCGUUGUUCGGAAUUACUGGGCGUAAAGGCUCGUAGGCGGCCAACUAAGUCAGACGUGAAAUCCCUCGGCUUAACCGGGGAACUGCGUCUGAUACUGGAUGGCUUGAAUCCGGGAGAGGGAUGCGGAAUUCCAGGUGUAGCGGUGAAAUGCGUAGAUAUCUGGAGGAACACCGGUGGCGAAGGCGGCAUCCUGGACCGGCAUUGACACUGAGGAGCGAAAGCCAGGGAGCAAAGCGGG
rnacentral:rRNA from 1 species